GAUUUUGGAUCGUUAAUCUCUGUUGUUAGGGAAGAUUAUUUACCGUUCUUUUUCUGCCUUUCUUUGAAGGGGCCUAACUAGAAAUCCACGGUUAAUUACUUGCCCACAGCGGGGGAAAUACUUACCUGGCAAGCGUUAUAAGGAAUUAUUGGGAGCACCCGGCUCGCACGUGUUUUCUUAUUUAUGAUGUGAAAGCCCCCGCCCUCAACCGGGGAGGGUCAUUGGAAACUGGGGAUCUUGAGUGCAGAAGAGCAGAGAGCAAUUCCACGUGUAUCCGCCAAAUGCACAGAGUUGUGGAGCACACUACUGACAAAGGCGACUCUCUGGUCUGUUACUGACGCUGACGACCGAAACCGUGGAGAGCGACAGGAUUANAUACGCUGGUAGUCCACGCCGUAAACGAUGAGUGCUAAGUGUUAAGGGGCUUCCCGCCCCUUAUGCUGCAGCUACACAUUAUGCACUCCGCCUGGGGAGUACGGCCGCAGACUGAAACUCACANAAUGACGGNGCCCGCCANCACUGCGAGCAUGUGUUAAUUCGANNACCNANGAACCUACCNGGCUGACAUCAUCUGACANCAUAGAUAGGACGNC
rnacentral:rRNA from 1 species